GAUGAACGUUGGCGGCGUGCCUAAUACAUGCAAGUCGAGCGAACAGACGAGGAGCUUGCUCCUCUGACGUUAGCGGCGGACGGGUGAGUAACACGUGGAUAACCUACCUAUAAGACUGGGAUAACUUCGGGAAACCGGAGCUAAUACCGGAUAAUAUAUUGAACCGCAUGGUUCAAUAGUGAAAGACGGUUUUGCUGUCACUUAUAGAUGGAUCCGCGCCGCAUUAGCUAGUUGGUAAGGUAACGGCUUACCAAGGCAACGAUGCGUAGCCGACCUGAGAGGGUGAUCGGCCACACUGGAACUGAGACACGGUCCAGACUCCUACGGGAGGCAGCAGUAGGGAAUCUUCCGCAAUGGGCGAAAGCCUGACGGAGCAACGCCGCGUGAGCGAUGAAGGUCUUCGGAUCGUAAAACUCUGUUAUUAGGGAAGAACAAAUGUGUAAGUAACUAUGCACGUCUUGACGGUACCUAAUCAGAAAGCCACGGCUAACUACGUG
rnacentral:rRNA from 1 species